CAGCCGCCGCGGGAAUACGGAGGGUGCAAGCGUUAAUCGGAAUUACUGGGCGUAAAGCGCACGCAGGCGGUCUGUCAAGUCAGAUGUGAAAUCCCCGGGCUUAACCUGGGAACUGCAUUUGAAACUGGCAGGCUGGAGUCUUGUAGAGGGGGGUAGAAUUCCAGGUGUAGCGGUGAAAUGCGUAGAGAUCUGGAGGAAUACCGGUGGCGAAGGCGGCCCCCUGGACAAAGACUGACGCUCAGGUGCGAAAGCGUGGGGAGCAAACAGGAUUAGAUACUCCAGUAGUCCCUGUCUCUUAUAA
rnacentral:rRNA from 1 species